GGUUAAGCGACUAAGCGUACACGGUGGAUGCCCUGGCAGUCAGAGGCGAUGAAGGACGUGCUAAUCUGCGAAAAGCGUCGGUAAGGUGAUAUGAACCGUUAUAACCGGCGAUGUCCGAAUGGGGAAACCCAGUGUGAUUCGUCACACUAUCGUUAACUGAAUACAUAGGUUAACGAGGCGAACCGGGGGAACUGAAACAUCUAAGUACCCCGAGGAAAAGAAAUCAACCGAGAUUCCCCCAGUAGCGGCGAGCGAACGGGGAGCAGCCCAGAGUCUGAAUCAGCUUGUGUGUUAGUGGAACGGUCUGGAAAGUCCGACGGUACAGGGUGAUAGUCCCGUACACCAAAAUGCACAGGCUGUGAACUCGAAGAGUAGGGCGGGACACGUGGUAUCCUGUCUGAAUAUGGGGGGACCAUCCUCCAAGGCUAAAUACUCCUGACUGACCGAUAGUGAACCAGUACCGUGAGGGAAAGGCGAAAAGAACCCCGGCGAGGGGAGUGAAAAAGAACCUGAAACCGUGUACGUACAAGCAGUGGGAGCACCUUCGGGUGUGACUGCGUACCUUUUGUAUAAUGGGUCAGCGACUUAUAUUCUGUAGCAAGGUUAACCGUAUAGGGGAGCCGCAGGGAAACCGAGUCUUAACUGGGCGUUAAGUUGCAGGGUAUAGACCCGAAACCCGGUGAUCUAGCCAUGGGCAGGUUGAAGGUUGGGUAACACUAACUGGAGGACCGAACCGACUAAUGUUGAAAAAUUAGCGGAUGACUUGUGGCUGGGGGUGAAAGGCCAAUCAAACCGGGAGAUAGCUGGUUCUCCCCGAAAGCUAUUUAGGUAGCGCCUCGUGAACUCAUCUUCGGGGGUAGAGCACUGUUUCGGCUAGGGGGUCAUCCCGACUUACCAACCCGAUGCAAACUACGAAUACCG
rnacentral:rRNA from 1 species